GUGCUGACAACGCCUGCUUUCUUCUUGAGGGAGACUGAAAGUUUCAGCCUUAGAACCCAAAGAAGCAUUGAAAAGAGAAACAAACCCCCAUAGAAAAGGACAACACAACCAUGAGACAGUUGCAAGAACAAAAACUAUGAAAAGAAGUGAUACUGUAUAUAGCAAAAGGCACAAAACACCUAAAUAACCGCUUCAUAGCCAACAGCAGCCCUUUGUGUUAGCUGGAGGAGACUUCUGUUCAGCUUUCAAACUUCAUCUGGACAGCAAUACGAAGGAAGCAGACUGCGAUAAAGAAAUAUAAAGAUAAUUCAAAGAGGCAUAAGGCUGAGGAAGAAAUUCUUACCGUGAACCCAACAGUCAACUCAGGGUACUGACAGCUUGUUGUAGCUGUGUCCCCUUCAUCUGGAGGGAGCCUGGAGGGGUCGACCUUGGGACCCAGAGGGACACUAGGAGGGUGAUAUAACAUCAGGGAAAAGGAUUUGAUACCACAGUUAUUGGUAGAAAAAUAUUAGCUGUUUAACUGAGAC
rnacentral:lncRNA from 1 species